GGAGUUAGCCGGUGCUUCUUCUGUGAGUGAUGUCCUUCCUGCCGGCUAUUAACCCGCAGGCCUUCUUCCUCACUGAAAGUGCUUUACAACCCGAAGGCCUUCUUCACACACGCGGCAUGGCUGGAUCAGGGUUGCCCCCAUUGUCCAAUAUUCCCCACUGCUGCCUCCCGUAGGAGUCUGGGCCGUGUCUCAGUCCCAGUGUGGCUGAUCAUCCUCUCAGACCAGAUACGGAUCGUCGACUUGGUGAGCCGUUACCUCACCAACCAGCUAAUCCGACAUAGGCUCAUCCGAUAGCGCGAGGCCCGAAGGUCCCCCGCUUUCCCCCGUAGGGCGUAUGCGGUAUUAGCCUGGGUUUCCCCCAGGUUAUCCCCCACUACCGGGCAGAUUCCUAUGCAUUACUCACCCGUCCGCCGCUCGCCACCAGGGAGCAAGCUCCCCGUGCUGCCGCUCGACUUGCAUGUGUAGCUGCCGCCAGCGUCAUCGNGACGCGAGANACAACUCNACNGAGGCGGCGNGACGACGCGCA
rnacentral:rRNA from 1 species